UAGGGAAUCUUCCACAAUGGACGCAAGUCUGAUGGAGCAACGCCGCGUGAGUGAAGAAGGUUUUCGGACCGUAAAGCUCUGUUGUUGGUGAAGAAGGAUAGAGGUAGUAACUGGCCUUUACUUGACGGUAAUCAACCAGAAAGUCACGGCUAACUACGUGCCAGCAGCCGCGGUAAUACGUAGGUGGCAAGCGUUGUCCGGAUUUAUUGGGCGUAAAGCGAGCGCAGGCGGAAGAAUAAGUCUGAUGUGAAAGCCCUCGGCUUAACCGAGGAAUUGCAUCGGAAACUGUUUUUCC
rnacentral:rRNA from 1 species